rnacentral:rRNA from 1 species
CCUGCGGGAGNNUNUUAAUGGCGAANGGGUGAGUAACACGUGGGCAAUCUGCCCUUCACUCUGGGACAAGCCCUGGAAACGGGGUCUAAUACCGGAUACGACACGGGGUCGCAUGACCUCCGUGUGGAAAGCUCCGGCGGUGAAGGAUGAGCCCGCGGCCUAUCAGCUUGUUGGUGGGGUGAUGGCCUACCAAGGCGACGACGGGUAGCCGGCCUGAGAGGGCGACCGGCCACACUGGGACUGAGACACGGCCCAGACUCCUACGGGAGGCAGCAGUGGGGAAUAUUGCACAAUGGGCGAAAGCCUGAUGCAGCGACGCCGCGUGAGGGAUGACGGCCUUCGGGUUGUAAACCUCUUUCAGCAGGGAAGAAGCGAAAGUGACGGUACCUGCAGAAGAAGCGCCGGCUAACUACGUGCCAGCAGCCGCGGUAAUACGUAGGGCGCAAGCGUUGUCCGGAAUUAUUGGGCGUAAAGAGCUCGUAGGCGGCUUGUCACGUCGGAUGUGAAAGCCCGGGGCUUAACCCCGGGUCUGCAUUCGAUACGGGCAGGCUAGAGUUCGGUAGGGGAGAUCGGAAUUCCUGGUGUAGCGGUGAAAUGCGCAGAUAUCANGANNAACACCGGUGGCGAANGCGGAUCUCUGGGCCGAUACUGACGCUGAGNAGCGAAGGCGUGGGAGCGANANANAUNNAUAUCCUGGUAGUCNNCNCNNC